rnacentral:ncRNA from 1 species
AUAAAGUUUAAAUCUAGCUUAUUAAUUUGCUUUAUUUUUCUUUUACAUGUAAGGUUUUUCGUGUAGUUAAAUAUAUUUAAAAAAUUUAUUUAAUUGGUUUUAUUCGCAGUAUUUAAUAUUAUUAAUUUAAGGAAUUAUGAAUUAGGAAUAAAAAUUUAUAUUGACUAAUUUUGUGCCAGCAGUUGCGGUUAUACAAAAAAUGUAAGUGAAUAUUAUUAGAAGAUGAUUAAAUAGAGAUUAUUAAAUGAAAUAAAAAUUUAUUGGGUGAAAUUAUGAAUUUUUGUUGAUUUAAUUUUUUUAUAAUCAUGAAAUUUUUAUAUAAACUAGGAUUAGAUACCCUAUUAUUAUAAAUGUAAAAUUUAACUCUAGAGGAGUAGUAGAUAUAUUCUUAAAAUUUAAAGAUUUUGGCGGUAUUUUAGUCUAUUCAGAGGAACCUGUUUUGUAAUUGAUAGCCCACGAUUGGCGUUACUUGAAUUAAUUAGUUUGUAUAUCGUCGUUAUAAGAAGAUUUUAAGAGAAUUAUAAUUUUUAAAAACUUAAAUAAAAGUUUAUAUCAGAUCAAGGUGCAGCAUAUAUUCAAGAUAAAAUGGGUUACAAUAAAUUUAUUUAAAUGGAUAAUUUUAUUAAUUAGAGUUUGAAGGUGGAUUUGAUAGUAAUAUUAUUAUAAUAUAUAAUAUGAUUUUAGCUCUAAAAUAUGUACAUAUCGCCCGUCGCUCUUAUUUAAAAUAAGAUAAGUCGUAACAAAGUAGAUGUACUGGAAAGUGUAUCUAGAAUGAC